GAAAAAUUUUCUUUCUGUGGAAAAAAAAAAUUGAAAAAGAAUGUUUCAGAAAGCUUCAAUUACGCCUUGUUUACUCUUAUCACUCGUCCUUUUGCUUUCCCUUUGUUGCUCUCUUCGUGCGGAGGUCUUCAGAGAGGAGGAAUGUGAUUAUUUUGCUGGGAUGAAAUCCUCUAUGGUGAAGAGGGAACACAGGAAGUCUUUAGUGGUGACUGAAUAUGGAGAGAUCUCAGCUGUUGAUAUCUCGAGUGGUACAAGAGGGGCAUACCAUCUUGAGUUUAUGACAUUGGAGCCUAAUUCCUUGUUUCUUCCUGUUCUUCUUCACGCUGACAUGGUUUUUUAUGUGAAAACAGGGAGUGGGAAAUUGAGUUGGGCUAAAGGUGGAAGAGAAAUGAAGAGGGUGAAUUUAAAGAGAGGAGAUGUGCAUAGGCUACAUCCAGGCUCAAUUUUCUUUGUGCAGUGUAGCUUGGAACCAGAACGACAGAAGCUCAGGAUUUAUGCCAUCUAUUCAAAUACAGAUGAAGAUCUCUACGAGCCAGCCAUUGGAGCAUACUCUAGCAUCAGAGAUUUGGUUCUUGGCUUUGAUAAGAAACUCCUACAAUCAGCUUUUAUGGUCUCUGAUGAUGUAAUAGAAGAAAUGACAAGUGCAAUGAGGCCACCAGCCAUAGUGCAUGCAGUGUCAGAGAAGAAAUCAAUAUUUUUGGAACUAGAAGCUAGGUUUCUAAAAGCUCUUACUGGCAACAAAGAUGGCUCCUUCUAUGACAUCAAUGGUGGGAACAAGAAAACCAAGACAUUCAACAUUCUAGACGCUGACCCAGAUUUUGAGAACUGUAAUGGGUGGAGUGUGACUGUAGGCAGAAGAGACUUGAAAUCUCUAAGGGGUUCGAAUAUUGGAGUUUUCAUGGUGAACUUGACAAAGGGGUCUAUGAUGGGGCCACAUUGGAACCCAAUGGCUACUGAGCUAGCGAUAGUUUUACAGGGACAAGGGAUGGUAAGGGUGGUUUGUGCUAGCAAUUUAAAUGAAACAAAGUGCAAGAACACGAGGUUCAGGGUUGAGGAAGGAGAUGUUUUUGCUGUACCUAGAUUCCAUCCGAUGGCUCAAAUGUCUUUCAAUAAUGAUUCAUUUGUUUUUAUGGGUUUUAGCACAUCAACAAGGAAAAACUACCCUAAAUUUCUAGCUGGGAAAAGCUCAGUCCUACAAACUUUGAACAAACAGAUCUUGGCCUUGUCCUUUAAUGUCACUAAUGCCACUAUUGAUCGAUUGUUGACUCCUCAGGCAGAGGCAGUAAUAUUGGAAUGCACUUCUUGCGCCGAGGAAGAGGAUAUCAUAAUGAAGGAAGAAAUGGAAAGAGAAAGGCAGGAAGAGGAAGCUAGGAAGAGAGAGGAGGAAAGGAAGAGGGAAGAAGAGGAAAGGAAAAGAGAACAAGAGGAAGAGGAAAGGAAAAGAGAACAAGAGGAAGAGGAAAGGAAAAGAGAACAAGAG
rnacentral:misc_RNA from 1 species